AGCCUACACCUCUGCUGCUGCUGCUUCUGCACUGACUGCUGGCCAGCUUCCUAGGAACCAGAGGGAGGCAAAAGCCCAGGCCUCCCUGCCAUACCCAUGGCCUGGACGCUGCCUCUGGGGCACUCUUCUGGCUUGCACACAUUGCCUCCAUGUUGUCUGAAAUGAGCCUCGUGGACCACUGUCCUCCUCUAGCUCAGGUAGGCAGUCCCUCAAAUGGCCCCAAAGGCACCCGCCUUAUGAGAUGAAUGCCCUUGUGUAAUCCCUCAUCCAGUGUGGAGUGGAACUAGUGACUUGUCUCAAACAGAAUACAGCGAAAGUGAUAAAAUAGGAAGUCAUUUCUCGAGCAACAGGCAUGGAGGGCAAUGGAGGUUAAGCAACUUGCCCGAAGUCCCACGGCAAGAAGAUGCGAACUCCGGCGCUCAGAAUCCAGAACCCACCAUCUCAACCACAACUCUCGUGAGAACCCAUGUUCAAUUCGGGGACUGCAUUCUUUGUAUGGAGCAUUCUGUUCUCUUUGAUCACAAAGCAGAGAAAUUUUAGAUGAUAGACGUAAAUGUUCACAAGGACGAACGCUAACCUGUAAUGAAUCAGAGACCUCCUGGGAGAUAGUAUAAUUU